CACGUAGGUGGCAAGCGUUAUCCGGAAUUACUGGGCGUAAAGGGUCCGCAGGUGGGACGGUAAGUCUGAUGUGACAGCGCCCGGCUCAACUGGGCGUGGCCAUUGGAAACUGCUGUUCUUGAGUCACGCAGAGGGGUGCGGAAUUCCGGGUGUAGUGGUGGAAUGCGUAGAUAUCAGGAAGAACACCGGUGGCGAAAGCGCUCUGCUAGGCCGCAACUGACACUGAGGGACGAAAGCUAGGGGAGCGAAUGGG
rnacentral:rRNA from 1 species